UAGGGAAUAUUGGACAAUGGGCGAAAGCCUGAUCCAGCCAUGCCGCGUGAGUGAUGAAGGCCUUAGGGUUGUAAAGCUCUUUUAGUGGGGAAGAUAAUGACGGUACCCACAGAAAAAGCCCCGGCUAACUUCGUGCCAGCAGCCGCGGUAAUACGAAGGGGGCUAGCGUUGUUCGGAUUUACUGGGCGUAAAGCGCACGUAGGCGGAUCGUUAAGUCGGGGGUGAAAUCCUGGAGCUCAACUCCAGAACUGCCUUCGAUACUGGCGAUCUAGAGUCCGGAAGAGGUGAGUGGAACUCCUAGUGUAGAGGUGGAAUUCGUAGAUAUUAGGAAGAACACCAGUGGCGAAGGCGGCUCACUGGUCCGGUACUGACGCUGAGGUGCGAAAGCGUGGGGAGCAAACA
rnacentral:rRNA from 1 species